CUACGUGCCAGCAGCCGCGGUAAUACGUAGGGCGCGAGCGUUGUCCGGAAUUAUUGGGCGUAAAGAGCUUGUAGGCGGUUGGUCGCGUCUGCUGUGAAAGGCCGGGGCUUAACUCCGGUUUUGCAGUGGGUACGGGCUAACUAGAGUGCAGUAGGGGAGACUGGAAUUCCUGGUGUAGCGGUGGAAUGCACAGAUAUCAGGAGGAACACCGAUGGCGAAGGCAGGUCUCUGGGCUGUAACUGACGCUGAGAAGCGAAAGCAUGGGGAGCGAACAGGAUUAGAUACCCUGGUAGUCCAUGCCGUAAACGUUGGGCACUAGGUGUGGGGGACAUUCCACGUUUUCCGCGCCGUAGCUAACGCAUUAAGUGCCCCGCCUGGGGAGUACGGCCGCAAGGCUAAAACUCAAAGAAAUUGACGGGGGCCCGCACAAGCGGCGGAGCAUGCGGAUUAAUUCGAUGCAACGCGAAGAACCUUACCAAGGCUUGACAU
rnacentral:rRNA from 1 species